CACUAAGAAGCUAUUUAGCAACAGCCUUUUAAGCUGCAGACAGGUGACCUCCAUCACCCUCAGUGA
rnacentral:tRNA from 1 species